AACACGCUGCUUUGUACGUUGUGAAUAAUUAAGUUUUAACCUUUAAGCUGUAAUAGGGAGUUUUAUAUCGAGGCAGGAAUGACAAGCCUUCGUCUACAUGACAGGGAGGACAUGCAGGAUCGUCUUUGCAAACACCCACUUUGAGGAGUGGUGGUUUAAAAC
rnacentral:other from 1 species